GAUGAAGAACGUAGCGAAAUGCGAUACGUAAUGUGAAUUGCAGAAUUCAGUGAAUCAUCGAGUCUUUAAACGCACAUUGCGCCCCCUGGUAUUCCGGGGGGCAUGCCUGUCCGAGCGUCAUUGCUGCCCUCAAGCACGGCUUGUGUGUUGGGCCUCCGUCCUCCUCCCGGGGGACGGGCCCGAAAGGCAGCGGCGGCACCGCGUCCGGUCCUCGAGCGUAUGGGGCUUCGUCACCCGCUCUUGUAGGCCCGGCCGGCGCUUGCCGACACAUCAAUCUUUUUUCCAGGUUGACCUCGGAUCAGGUAGGGAUACCCGCUGAACUUAAGCAUAUCAAUAAGCGGAGGA
rnacentral:misc_RNA from 1 species